GCGGGUAAAGGAGGGGAGAGGAAAGGGGGGGGGAAAAAAGUCCUUCGUCCUCAGCGGGAGAGACUUUAAGCGCGGCCCCUCGCUGCCCCGGGGCGAGUGUCGGUGGCCCACGCUCACCCAAACGCGAGGGCAGCCUUACCGCCUCCCUUUGCCCCUGGAAAAGAAAAAAAAGAGGAAAAAAAAAAAAGAAAAGAAAACGCCGCGUGACACCGCUGCACAAACGCACGGCAUCGGCUGUGUCUCACACGGCGGGGAGAUGAAGAUGCAGUCUUUUCCGUGUGGGGGGGCUGAAUAGGAGAGUUAAAGAUUGUUAAGGGCUGAAGGGUGACCGUUGACCGUUGCCCUUCAAAGUCCGCGUGAAUGCCGUGGUGCAGAAAUCCCACCUUGGCAGAAGGGCUUUGUGUUUUUACAGGAGGCAGUGAUGGCAAGCUGCACCCAGCGGGGGUAACGAUUGUUAUUUCUGAGGGAUGCGCAGCCCUAAGCGUUUGGUGGUCAUCCAGGGGUUACGCGUUGUCGCUGCUGAAAAAAAGAAACAACAAGAUCACGAGGCUGAAAGAGGUCAGGAGGUCAUCUAUGUCCUCCCCCUCCUUGAAAGCAGGACGCUCAACGCCUAUCUCACUGCUAAGACAUUGGUCUAACCUGUUCUUAAUGACCUGUGAUGAAGACAUCACAGCCUCCCAGGUCCCUGGGCCUGUGGGCUUUCUCCACUUGGUGAAGGAGAAAGUGUUUUUGACACUGAACAUCCUGCUUUGUCUGAGACCUUACGCUACUCCAUUUGCCAUGCAUACCAUGUGUCUCUGUGCAUCCCAGUGUGCCCAUCCCCAACAAGAUGGCAUUUCUCUUGUCAGAGGUCAGACCUGCCACUCUAACUUAAGGUUUUCAGACGCGCAUGUUUCAUUUCAUUAGAAACUGCACCAGAAACCACAUCUCCGAGGAUGAAAUGCCACCACCACCAGCAAGAGGAAAAAUAAACAAAUAAUCACUGUGCAGAAAGCAGAGCACAGUACAGGAGAGCACAUUCUCUUUGGGGGAUCAGUGAGAGAAUUUUGAUUUCCUAUGAAAAAGACUCGAUAGGAGUAAACGAAUGGAGAACAUUUCAAUCACCCUGAUAUUCACUGGAUAAGCAACACUACCAGGCACACACAGUCCAGAAGGUUUCUGCAGUGCGUGGGAGAUUUCUGAUGCAGAUGUAAAAGGAGCCAAUGAGGAGAGGUGUACUGCUGGACCUUGUUCUUACAAACAAGGAAGGACUGGUUGGGAAAGUGAAGGCUGGGGGCAGCCCUGGAUGCAGCGACCAUGAGAUGGUGGAUUCCAGGAUCUUACAUGGAAGAAACAAGCCAAUUGGUGGGACUGAAACCCUGGACUUCAGGAGAGCCAACUUUGACCUCUUUAAGGACCUACUUGGAGAUAUCCUUUGGAUACUCGUGAUCCCAGACCUUUGACACUUCCAGUGUUUGCUAUUGAAACACUGCAAAAGUAAGGCAUUCUGACCAGCUUAGGACUUCUUCCUGAUUUUCAUCAUUCAAGUAUCCGAUCCUGUUUUUCAGGUCUGAAUGCAACCACAAAGGAGAGCGCCCGACCUCCCACCUUCUCAGCAUAAGCACCAUGCGCCUCACGACCCAUUUCCAAAUGCAUUUACAUUGACAAAGAGCCACGCAGAUGGACUCGCUGCACUUCUGCCCUGGUGGUCAGUGCAGCGCUGCUGAGCUGGGAGCAGGCCGGGCGGACACUGAACCCGCCCACGGCGCUUAAUGAAUUCCAAAUCAGAGCAACGCUCACAGCUAAUAAUGUGACCCCACUCAUCUGCCAUCCCCCACCAGGACUACCCAAAUCCAGAUGUUAGGGACAAUUUGCCCAGAAUCCACCAAAGUCCCAAGACAUUCCUGAAGGAAAGCCAUUUUAAUUAUUCUUCCAGGGCUAAAUUAUCCUGCUCUGCAGUGCUUUCCAGCAGAUGAGGGUAAAACAAUCCAGAAGAUAACAACAAAAAAGAACACAUUGCAAACAGACUUCCAAAAUCACCCCAGAACUGCUCAGAACUACAUGAAAGUGGGCACAUGCUAAAGGAAAGAGACCUCUCUGUAUUACUGAAGACAAAAACUACGAGCUGCCAAGUUUUAUAUAUUUUUUACUGAAAUUACUUUAACUGCAGAGUUCUUCUACAGCAUCUAAGGGGGAUGUCCACAGGCAAUGCUCCUGCAAAGUACGGCUCUCCUAUCAGCAGAUAAUAACAAACCUUUUU
ensembl:lncRNA